rnacentral:rRNA from 1 species
UACGUAGGGGGCAAGCGUUACUCGGAAUCACUGGGCGUAAAGCGCAGGUAGGCGGUUUGGUAAGUCUGUUGUGAAAGCUCCCGGCUUAACUGGGAGAGGUCAACGGAAACUAUCAGGCUAGAGUGUGGUAGAGGUAGCUGGAAUUCCCGGCGUAGCGGUGAGAUGCGUAGAUAUCGGGAGGAAUACCUAUGGCGAAAGCAGUCUACUGGACCAUCACUGACGCUGAGAUGCGAAAGCGAGGGGAGCAAACAGG